rnacentral:rRNA from 1 species
UACGUAGGGUGCGAGCGUUAAUCGGAAUUACUGGGCGUAAGGCGCACGUAGGCGGCUUUGCAAGUCGGAUGUGAAAUCCCUCGGCUCAACCAAGGAAGUGCAUCCGAAACUGCAGAGCUUGAGUACGAAAGAGGAUCGCGGAAUUCCCGGUGUAGAGGUGAAAUUCGUAGAUAUCGGGAGGAACACCAGUGGCGAAGGCGGCGAUCUGGGUCGAUACUGACGCUGAGGUGCGAAAGCGUGGGGAGCAAACAGG